rnacentral:rRNA from 1 species
CACGUAGGGUGCGAGCGUUGUCCGGAAUUAUUGGGCGUAAAGGGCUCGUAGGCGGUUUGUCACGUCGGGAGUGAAAACUCAGGGCUCAACCCUGAGCCUGCUUCCGAUACGGGCAGACUAGAGGUAUGCAGGGGAGAACGGAAUUCCUGGUGUAGCGGUGAAAUGCGCAGAUAUCAGGAGGAACACCGGUGGCGAAGGCGGUUCUCUGGGCAUUACCUGACGCUGAGGAGCGAAAGUGUGGGGAGCGAACAGG